rfam:Alligator mississippiensis ScZkoYb_321.1, whole genome shotgun sequence.
GCUCCAGUGGCGCAAUCGGUUAGCGCACGGUACUUAUACAGCAGUACUUUGGUGAGCCAUGCCGAGGUUGUGAGUUCGAUCCUCACCUGGAGCA